GACGUACUCCCUCCGUUCGGAAUUACUUGUCGUAGAAAUGGAUGUAUCUAGAUGUAUUUUAGUUCUAGAUACAUCCAUUUUCGAGACAAGUAAUUCCGAACGGAGGGAGUAGUAC
rnacentral:pre_miRNA from 1 species